rnacentral:rRNA from 1 species
GACGAACGCUGGCGGCGUGCUUAACACAUGCAAGUCGAACGGAAAGGCCCUGCUUUUGUGGGGUGCUCGAGUGGCGAACGGGUGAGUAACACGUGAGUAACCUGCCCUUGACUUUGGGAUAACUUCAGGAAACUGGGGCUAAUACCGGAUAGGAGCUCCUGCUGCAUGGUGGGGGUUGGAAAGUUUCGGCGGUUGGGGAUGGACUCGCGGCUUAUCAGCUUGUUGGUGGGGUAGUGGCUUACCAAGGCUUUGACGGGUAGCCGGCCUGAGAGGGUGACCGGCCACAUUGGGACUGAGAUACGGCCCAGACUCCUACGGGAGGCAGCAGUGGGGAAUAUUGCACAAUGGGCGGAAGCCUGAUGCAGCAACGCCGCGUGCGGGAUGACGGCCUUCGGGUUGUAAACCGCUUUCGCCUGUGACGAAGCGUGAGUGACGGUAAUGGGUAAAGAAGCACCGGCUAACUACGUGCCAGCAGCCGCGGUGAUACGUAGGGUGCGAGCGUUGUCCGGAUUUAUUGGGCGUAAAGGGCUCGUAGGUGGUUGAUCGCGUCGGAAGUGUAAUCUUGGGGCUUAACCCUGAGCGUGCUUUCGAUACGGGUUGACUUGAGGAAGGUAGGGGAGAAUGGAAUUCCUGGUGGAGCGGUGGAAUGCGCAGAUAUCAGGAGGAACACCAGUGGCGAAGGCGGUUCUCUGGGCCUUUCCUGACGCUAAGGAGCGAAAGCGUGGGGAGCGAACAGGCUUAGAUACCCUGGUAGUCCACGCUGUAAACGGUGGGUACUAGGUGUGGGGUCCAUUCCACGGGUUCCGGGCCGUAGCUAACGCUUUAAGUACCCCGCCUGGGGAGUACGGCCGCAAGGCUAAAACUCAAAGGAAUUGACGGGGCCCCGCACAAGCGGCGGAGCAUGCGGAUUAAUUCGAUGCAACGCGUAGAACCUUACCUGGGUUUGACAUGGAUCGGGAGUGCUCAGAGAUGGGUGUGCCUCUUUUGGGGUCGGUUCACAGGUGGUGCAUGGCUGUCGUCAGCUCGUGUCGUGAGAUGUUGGGUUAAGUCCCGCAACGAGCGCAACCCUUGUUCACUGUUGCCAGCACGUUAUGGUGGGGACUCAGUGGAGACCGCCGGGGUCAACUCGGAGGAAGGUGGGGAUGACGUCAAGUCAUCAUGCCCCUUAUGUCCAGGGCUUCACGCAUGCUACAAUGGCUGGUACAGAGAGUGGCGAGCCUGUGAGGGUGAGCGAAUCUCGGAAAGCCGGUCUCAGUUCGGAUUGGGGUCUGCAACUCGACCUCAUGAAGUCGGAGUCGCUAGUAAUCGCAGAUCAGCAACGCUGCGGUGAAUACGUUCCCGGG